UCCGGUUCCAUCACGCCUCAACGCUGAGGUCUCCUUGCGCCGGGAACGUGAGGGAGCGGGCUGUGCAUAUGGCACAGGCGUCACAGUGACAGGAGAGAACGUGGGCUCGAGGGGACAUCACCCUAUGAGAAGCGCGGGCUGCGUGAGCCUAAGGGCCUUGAGUGCGGGGCGCCAGCACACAGGACCGAGCGGAGGGAUCUCGAUGACUAUGACGAUCUCCUGACCAGUUUAUUUAUUCAACCAACUCUGAAAACCAGCUGGAAUUUGCAUUGAUGGUGGAAAAUCAGUAUGGUAAUGCAACUUUUUCGUACAUUGUCCAUAUUUAUCACGAGAUCACUCUUUGAACAUUAUUAAAAUUAAACUUAAUUCCAUAUUGUGAACUAAGAAUGUACUGAAGAGUUGAGAGACUGCUAAGC